CUGGUUCCGGACCCAGCGUACCCGCCCUACCAUGAGACGAUCACCUCCACUCGUCUCCCUCAUUUUGGCCACUAAAUGGCCUAUAUUAGCCCGUGUCGGCCAUAAUGCCCACUCUCCCCAACAAUAUUAUUUUAGCCGGACAUGAUUUCUUUCACUAGCUGUUUAGGAUCUCAUGCAAGCGGAUAAUUCAUUAACUUCACAGGUAAAUUCGUAUUCAUGCACGUGAACAUUUCUUCUCCAGAAUUAAUUUUUUUAUUUUUUUACAACACUGAAUGGAACAGGCGACGAAAUACUACAAGGAUAUUGCUAGUCGCCGCAAUAGAAACGCGCAAGGAGGCACUUUAGAGGCAAUCGUUGCGCCUAUUUAGGAACAAUGGCCCACACAAUUACUUAAAACUGGAGCUCUCUGGGGGUGGUAAGGGGCGAUAUAAAUGC